CUACGGGGUGCUGCAGUGGGGAAUAUUGCACAAUGGGGGAAACCCUGAUGCAGCAACGCCGCGUGGAGGAUGACGCAUUUCGGUGUGUAAACUCCUUUUAUAUAGGAAGAUAAUGACGGUACUAUAUGAAUAAGCACCGGCUAACUCCGUGCCAGCAGCCGCGGUAAUACGGAGGGUGCAAGCGUUACUCGGAAUCACUGGGCGUAAAGCGCGCGCAGGCGGCCCCUUAAGUUGGAUGUGAAAGCCUACGGCUUAACCGUAGAACUGCAUCCAAAACUGAGGGGCUAGAGUCUGGGAGGGGAAGAUGGAAUUAGUUGUGUAGGGGUAAAAUCCGUAGAGAUAACUAGGAAUACCAAAAGCGAAGGCGAUCUUCUGGAACAGUACUGACGCUGAGGCGCGAAAGCGUGGGGAGCAAACAGGAUUAGAUACCCCCGUAGUC
rnacentral:rRNA from 1 species